rnacentral:rRNA from 1 species
UACAGAGGUCUCAAGCGUUGUUCGGAUUCAUUGGGCGUAAAGGGUGCGUAGGUGGCGUCGUAAGUGGGGUGUGAAAUCCCGGGGCUUAACCCGGACCGUGCAUUCCAUACUGCGGUGCUUGAGGACUGGAGAGGAGACUGGAAUUUACGGUGUAGCAGUGAAAUGCGUAGAGAUCGUAAGGAAGACCAGUGGCGAAGGCGGGUCUCUGGACAGUUCCUGACACUGAGGCACGAAGGCCAGGGGAGCAAACGGG